rnacentral:piRNA from 1 species
CCUCAUCAAACAAGUUUCUUUUUGCAGCC